CACAAGCGUGGAGUAUGUGGUUUAAUUCGAUGCAACGCGAAGAACCUUACCUGGUCUUGACAUCCCGGAGACCCUUAGGAAACUAGGGGGUGCUUCCAUCUGGAAGAAUCUGGAGACAGGUGCUGCAUGGCUGUCGUCAGCUCGUGUCGUGAGAUGUUGGGUUAAGUCCCGCAACGAGCGCAACCCUUGCCUUUAGUUGCCAGCAGUUCGGCUGGGCACUCUAAAGGGACUGCCGGUGUUAAACCGGAGGAAGGUGGGGAUGACGUCAAGUCCUCAUGGCCUUUAUGACCAGGGCUACACACGUACUACAAUGGCCGAUACAAAGGGCAGCGACACUGCGAGGUGAAGCCAAUCCCGUAAAAUCGGUCUCAGUCCGGAUUGGAGUCUGCAACUCGACUCCAUGAAGUUGGAAUCGCUAGUAAUCGUGGAUCAGCAUGCCACGGUGAAUACGUUCCCGGGCCUU
rnacentral:rRNA from 1 species